GGGACUGUGGCUCAGUGGUAGAGCAUCCACUUGGUAUGCGGAAGGUCCUAGGUUCAAUCCCUGGUAUUUCCA